rnacentral:rRNA from 1 species
GUCGCCUCCUAAAAGGUAACGGAGGCGCUCAAAGGUUCCCUCAGAAUGGUUGGAAAUCAUUCAUAGAGUGUAAAGGCAUAAGGGAGCUUGACUGCGAGACCUACAAGUCGAGCAGGGUCGAAAGACGGACUUAGUGAUCCGGUGGUUCCGCAUGGAAGGGCCAUCGCUCAACGGAUAAAAGCUACCCCGGGGAUAACAGGCUUAUCUCCCCCAAGAGUUCACAUCGACGGGGAGGUUUGGCACCUCGAUGUCGGCUCAUCGCAUCCUGGGGCUGUAGUCGGUCCCAAGGGUUGGGCUGUUCGCCCAUUAAAGCGGUACGCGAGCUGGGUUCAGAACGUCGUGAGACAGUUCGGUCCCUAUCCGUCGUGGGCGUAGGAAAUUUGAGAGGAGCUGUCCUUAGUACGAGAGGACCGGGAUGGACAUACCUCUGGUGUACCAGUUGUCGUGCCAACGGCAUAGCUGGGUAGCUAUGUGUGGACGGGAUAAGUGCUGAAAGCAUCUAAGCAUGAAGCCCCCCUCAAGAUGAGAUUUCCCAACUUCGGUUAUAAGAUCCCUCAAAGAUGAUGAGGUUAAUAGGUUCGAGGUGGAAGC